ACAGGAAAUCCACCUAGUGGCUGACCAAGUCAGCCACAAAAGACAGCACAAGACAAUAUUGUAAACCUAGUCUCUUCUCAGAAAAUUCUGAGUUUACAGUGCUGAGCUGCAGGAAUGAUUACUCCAAAACAAUUACUUGAAGCCUGUGCCCAUUGUCCCUUUCAUUCUCUGCAAUUUACAAUUUAUUAAGGCUGUCCUUACAGGAGAGAUUUACGGAGGUAUUAAAAGCAGAAUCUUUCCCAGUAAGUUUUUAACUAACCACACAAAUGAAAUGUGUACACCUAGCACCAUCACAAUCCUCUGCAGAGUGUGUCCAUUUAACAGAGGAAGGGAUCACACAUGAUUAACGUGAGAUCUCUAUGCACCUUAGCUCUAAAACAGUGAACUUUAUACACCUCCACGAG